CCUACGGGAGGCAGCAGUGAGGAAUAUUGGUCAAUGGACGAGAGUCUGAACCAGCCAAGUAGCGUGAAGGAUGACUGCCCUAUGGGUUGUAAACUUCUUUUAUAUGGGAAUAAAACGUUCCACGUGUGGGAUUUUGUACGUACCAUAUGAAUAAGGAUCGGCUAACUCCGUGCCAGCAGCCGCGGUAAUACGGAGGAUCCGAGCGUUAUCCGGAUUUAUUGGGUUUAAAGGGAGCGUAGGUGGAUUGUUAAGUCAGUUGUGAAAGUUUGCGGCUCAACCGUAAAAUUGCAGUUGAAACUGGCAGUCUUGAGUACAGUAGGGGUGGGCGGAAUUCGUGGUGUAGCGGUGAAAUGCUUAGAUAUCACGAAGAACUCCGAUUGCGAAGGCAGUUCACUGGACUGCAACUGACACUGAGGCUCGAAAGUGUGGGUAUCAAACAGGAUUAGAUACCUGGGUAGUC
rnacentral:rRNA from 1 species